UGGGGAAUAUUGCACAAUGGGCGCAAGCCUGAUGCAGCCAUGCCGCGUGUGUGAAGAAGGCCUUCGGGUUGUAAAGCACUUUCAGCGAGGAGGAAGGUGGUGGACUUAAUACGUUCAUCAAUUGACGUUACUCGCAGAAGAAGCACCGGCUAACUCCGUGCCAGCAGCCGCGGUAAUACGGAGGGUGCAAGCGUUAAUCGGAAUUACUGGGCGUAAAGCGCACGCAGGCGGUUUGUUAAGUCAGAUGUGAAAUCCCCGGGCUCAACCUGGGAACUGCAUUUGAAACUGGCAAGCUAGAGUCUCGUAGAGGGGGGUAGAAUUCCAGGUGUAGCGGUGAAAUGCGUAGAGAUCUGGAGGAAUACCGGUGGCGAAGGCGGCCCCCUGGACGAAGACUGACGCUCAGGUGCGAAAGCGUGGGGCAGCAAACAGGAUUAGAUACCCUGGUAGUCCACGCUGUAAAACGAUGUCGAUUUGGAGGUUGUGCCCUUGAGGCGUGGCUUCCGGAGCUAACGCGUUAAAUCGACCGCCUGGGGAGUACGGCCGCAAGGUUAAAACUUAAAUGAAUUG
rnacentral:rRNA from 1 species